GAUUGUACAGCUCAAGGGGGAGAGCGCAUGCUUAGCAUGCACGAGGUCCUGGGUUCCAUCCCCAGUACCUCCA
rnacentral:tRNA from 1 species